rnacentral:rRNA from 1 species
UAGGGAAUCUUCCGCAAUGGGCGAAAGCCUGACGGAGCAACGCCGCGUGAGUGAAGAAGGUCUUCGGAUCGUAAAACUCUGUUAUUAGGGAAGAACAAAUGUGUAAGUAACUAUGCACGUCUUGACGGUACCUAAUCAGAAAGCCACGGCUAACUACGUGCCAGCAGCCGCGGUAAUACGUAGGUGGCAAGCGUUAUCCGGAAUUAUUGGGCGUAAAGCGCGCGUAGGCGGUUUUUUAAGUCUGAUGUGAAAGCCCACGGCUCAACCGUGGAGGGUCAUUGGAAACUGGAAAACUUGAGUGCAGAAGAGGAAAGUGGAAUUCCAUGUGUAGCGGUGAAAUGCGCAGAGAUAUGGAGGAACACCAGUGGCGAAGGCGACUUUCUGGUCUGUAACUGACGCUGAUGUGCGAAAGCGGAGGGAUCAAACAGG